GGACUACUGGGGUUUCUAAUCCUGUUCGCUCCCCUAGCUUUCGCACCUGAGCGUCAGACUCUUGCCAGGAGACUGCCUUCGCCUUCGGUGUUCCUCCGGAUCUCUACGCAUUUCACCGCUCCACCCGGAAUUCCGUCUCCCUCUCAAGCUCUCAAGUCCACCAGUUUUCGAAGACCUUUCCCAGUUAAGCCGGAAACUGUCACUCCGAACUUGGCAGACCGCCUGCGUGCGCUUUACGCCCAAUAAAUCCGGACAACGCUUGCCCCCUACGUAUUACCGCGGCGGCUGGCAC
rnacentral:rRNA from 1 species